GGGUAGUUGCAACAGCUGUAGUCCUAGAUGAUGUAGGGAAAAUCAAAGAUGUUAUCCAGAGAUGGUCUGAUAUUGACGAAAUGGAUCUCAUCCUUACCCUUGGUGGCACUGGCUUCACCCCAAGAGACGUUACCCCUGAAGCUACAAAAGAGUUGAUUCAGAGGGAAGCACCUGGUCUUUUGUAUGUAAUGAUCUAAGAGAGUUUAAAGGAUGCUAAACCAAUUGAUAGAAAAAUUGGUAAGCUUUGUGAAUAUGCUUCGAAAAACCCAUUACGAAUUCCCAAGUAUCUCAGGAAGGAUUGAAUUUAUCUUGUCAAUCUGAAAUGAUACGAAACAGUAUUGGGUUCGGGCUCCUGAAAUGAUCUGGUAAUCAUUAUAAGCCGGCUGGAUAUCAGUGAUUUGCUACUUAAUUUUGUGGAGAAAACGUUUGAAGCUCAGUUGCGAAACUGCAGUCGAAAAGAUUACUUUAGAUGGUGUACGGGGUUUGCAUGUCAUGCUGAGUGCAACAGUUCAUGAUGUGUUAUACUACAUGAGCCCCAUCUACUGUCAGGAUAUUAUCAACUCGGUACUGUUUAUCUUGUUUCCAAUUUCUCACCUUCUCUUCUUUCAUUUCUAUUUCCCAAUGACUAAGCUGUUUCAUUAUUCAACUAUAAAGCUUCUUUCAAUCCAGGUUCCUUGUUUAAAAUGACAUUUUUCUGCACAGGUUCAUGAUAGUCUUUCUAAAGCUUUAGACCAUAAUUAGAUGGGUUGUUUUGUAGUAGUCGAUACCUGAUCCACUAUC